rnacentral:rRNA from 1 species
AUUGAACGCUGGCGGCAGGCCUAACACAUGCAAGUCGAACGAGUGGCGGACGGGUGAGUAAUGUCUGGGAAACUGCCUGAUGGAGGGGGAUAACUACUGGAAACGGUAGCUAAUACCGCAUACCAUCGGAUGUGCCCAGAUGGGAGUAGCUAGUGGGUGGGGUAAAGGCUCACCUAGGCGCCGAUCCAUAGCUGGUCUGAGAGGAUGACAAGCCACACGAGAACAGAGAAACGGUCCAGACGCCUACGGGAGGCAGCGGUGGGGAAUAUUGCACAAUGGGCGCAAGCCUGAUGCAGCCAUGCCGGGUGUAUGAAGAAGGCCAUCGGGUUGUAAAGUACUUUCAGCGGGGAGGCGUUACCCGCAGAAGAAGCACCGGCUAACACCGAGCCAGCCGCCGCGGUAAUUC